AGUAUAGCUCAGUGGCAGAGUGCAUGCCUAGCAUGCAUGAGGUCCUUGGUUCAAUCCCCAGCACU
rnacentral:tRNA from 1 species